AUACGGAGGGUGCAAGCGUUACUCGGAAUCACUGGGCGUAAAGCGCGCGCAGGCGGCUUGAUAAGUUGGAUGUGAAAGCCUACUGCUCAACCGUAGAACUGCAUCCAAAACUGUCAGGCUAGAGUGUGGGAGAGGAAGAUGGAAUUAGUUGUGUAGGGGUAAAAUCCGUAGAGAUAACUAGAAAUACCAAAAGCGAAGGCAAUCUUCUGGAACACUACUGACGCUGAGGCGCGAAGGCGUGGGGAGCAAACAGGAUUAGAAACCCCAGUAGUCC
rnacentral:rRNA from 1 species